AUGGACUGCCCACCAGGUUCCGUGGGAUUUUCCAGGCAAGAGUAUUGGAGUGGGGUGCCAUUGCCAUCUUAGUCUUAAGACUAUAAUAAACAUAAAAAAUAAGAUUGUAUAGGCCAAUAGGUAAAUAGGGGCAAUCAGUUGAGCGUUGAUUGGGAAUAUUCAGAGCAAAUAUGAUGGCUUGGACAAAGGCAAGGGGUGGAAAUAGAAAGAAGUAGACAGAUUUGAGAUCUGUUUCAAAGGUUGUGUUGAUAGAUCUUGCUGAUGGAUUAGAUGUGAGGUAAGAGGGAAAGAGGAGGCUCAAGAUAAUUCCUUGCGUUUAUUGACUGGAGCAACUAAGUGGAUGACAUUGACGAAAGUAGGGAAGGUGCUGGAAGACCAAGAGGUGUAUGUUGGCCGAAUAAAGUUCAAGAUAACCUGUUAGAUGUCAAGUUUCAGUGAGUUUAUACAUCUGGAGAUCAGAAGGGCAGUUAGGAGUGGAGAUACAAAUGUGGGAAUGAUCAGCAAAAUGAGUCAUACCUAAAACUUUGAGAUUAUCCAGAGAGAGCCUGGAGACAGAGAAAAGAAUGAGGACUGAACUCUGGUGUACUCCAAAAUUUAGAGAUCAAAAAGUAGAACCAGCAUAGGAGGCUGGCCAGAAAUAGUUGAUGUAUUAGAAGGAAAUAGGACAGUGUGUGGUCCCAGAAGCCAAGAGAGGAGAAAGAAGUGGUUGAGUUGUGAAAUCAAGUCAGUGACUCUAUGCAGCCCUUUUUCUUUUGAUGUCCUCUAUGACCCGUGCAGUAGGGAGUGAUAGAACCAUGAUUUUCAUUCUGGAGAUAAAGAAUAGCUUUGGGAGAUUCAAUGAUGAUUCCCAGAUGGCCUGUCUAAUCAGAGGCCCUUCAGAGUGUGUGGUUCUAGAAUGCCUACCAUUCAAGAAAAGCUGCAACAGCCCUAUCUUUUUUGUUGGGUUGUAUGAUGUCUUGGGGCCUAUGGUGUAGUUAACACCCUGUGCCUCUUACAAAAAAAAUGAAUGCUGAGGUUUGAUAGCCUUGUGAUUAGUUUUUAUUAUUUUCCCCAUUUGUUGUUAACUAGCACUCCUACCUGCCGUAAAUGCCCUUACCUGGCUUGCCUUUUUCUACUUUAAAUUUAUUGUACACUUUAUGAUUUAUACCUGAACUCCAAAUGUGUGGCAUAUACUGAAUUCUCCAUAGAUGAUGCUAAGUACAGAGUUCUUUACUUUCUCCAUCAUGCUUGGCCCUGUUCAAUAAUUGUUAACCCUGGAUAAUAUUAAGUGAAAGAGAAUAUUAACCUGGAGUUCUGAUAUUCGUGCAAAAGUGUUAGUUAGGGCUUGGAAUAAAUAAUAAUAUUGAAUUUUCUCUAUUCUUUCAUAGUGGAUGGAUUUGAGCCAAAACCAUCUCUUUGUUGCUAGUUCUGGAAAAUUACUCUGUUUUAAAUUUGGCUUUAAUCUUUGGAAAGCCAAAGAUCACUAGGAUCAAAUGACCUCAAACCCAUGAUUGAGGAUAUGCUUUUUUUUUUUUUCCAGUCUUCUCUGCUUGGUUUAAGAGGCACUCAGCUGCUAAAAAGCAAUAAAGAAAAAAAUUAAACAAUGAAAAUCACAUAGAGCAAGACACUAGAAAAAAUACAUUUACAAAAUAUGGAGACUGAGUUUACACACACAAUGAUUUGGUUGACUUAGUAGUAUAAUAAAUCAAAAAUAUUUGUUCUAAGUGUAAACCUUAGCCAAACUUUACAAAUAAACUACAAGGACUGAGAUUGUUUUUUAAAUUAAAAAUUUUAAGAUACAAAUUUAAAUGUUUAGUGCACAAUAAUUAACCCUUUCCAGAAUAAAAUGAACUUCUUUGUCAUCUUUUUACUUAAACAUGUUCUUUUUUUUUUCUUAAACAUGUUCAUGAUUUUUUUUUUUUUGGAUGUAGAAGGCUGACCAGAUUAUAAUAUUAAAGAGAGAAGAUAUCUUAAAAUUGUUAAGUUGUUAGAGGUUACUUACUUUUACUUCUUUUAUGGGAAAAUAUAUAUUGCAUUCUAAGGAGAGCAAGGAGGGAGACUUACAUUAUUUUCGGAAUCCUACUUCAUAGUAGGCCCCGCAUGACAUGUUUCUAUAUGCAUUACUUUGGCCUUUUGUUUAGGUAUGUUAUGUCAUUUCUUCCUUCAGAUGAAGGAACAGGUAGGUUGGUCUACUGUCUUCAAGUCACACAGCUAGUCGGCAUCAGAGCUGACAUCGAGACAAGGCAGUCUGUGUUGAGUCCGUCAGACACAAAGACAGAACCUGGGGAGCAGGAAGAGCUCAUUUCCCGUUCCUGGAGCACAUCGCAUUCUCCCAACAGAGGACUGGCCUUUAUCCCCACAAUGAUGGCAAUGCCAUCCUCACUGUCCUUGUAAAAGACAAAAGACUUGAUUUUUAUCAACUGCCUGUUUCAAAGAAACAUAUUCAUAGAGGGGGGCAGUCAUCCGAAGGGUCUGAAGAUCACUGAAAUAGUUGACUAGGGCUUCAGUAGGCUUCUCCUUAAUCUGAACCAAAUACACCCCUUUAUUAUUUAAGCCAAUCUGAAUUUUUGCUCUUUGUUGUUACCGUCCUUUAAACCACCUCAAAUCCUUUUGGGAGCAAGGGAGAAUGUCAAUGAAUGAAACCGGUGAACCGCAUCAUCAACCAGAGUCAGCGUGAUUGGAUCUGGUCCACUUUUCUAACCUCAGCCUUGCUCUGUGCACGGCUCCUUCUACCAGCUCCAUCCCCACUGCAGAAGGACUGGCUGUUCUCUGGAUGCACCCUGCCUUCCCAACUGUGUGUCUGCUACUACUCACCACAAUGUCUGUUUCAAUCCAUCACCAAGAGUCAACCCAAACAUCACUCCUUAAGGACGACAGACCUGAGUUGGCUAUUUUUUUUUUAAUGCUUCCUUGAGACCUCUGUACACAGUCUCCCCAUUGCUGUAGUCACAACAUAGUUUUAUAUCUGCUCUUGUGUCUCCUCUAGGCAGUAGGUUCCUUGAGGGCAGAGACCAGGCCUCUUCACCUUGGCGUCAUUACUGCCCUGUAUCAUCCCUGACUCAUUGGAAAAGAGCUGACUUAUUGGAAAAAAAAACCAAAAAACCUGAUGCUGAGAAAGAUAGAAGGUGUGGGAGAAAGGGAUGACAGAGGACCAGAUGUUUGGAUGGCAUCACCGACUCAAUGGACAUAAGUUUAAGCAAGCUCUGGGAGAUGGUAAAGGACAGGGAGGCCUGGCGUGCUGCAGUCCAUGGGGUCUCAAAGAGUUGGACAUGACUGAGCGGCUGAACAACCACAAAUCAUCCUUGACAGAUAGCAGCCCUUGUCUAUGUGCAGACAUGAGAUUUUCGCAAUCAGUGAAGAUAUGGUUUUGUGUCAAGACUUCACCACAUGCAGUUUACUUUGCUGACAAAUUCUCCGAACUUCCAACACAAACAGAACAGUGUUUUCCUGCCUCUGGAGUCCUUGAGCAAUGUUUGGCUGAGAGACCCAUGAGAGGAGUGUUACAAGUGUGAUCUCGGCAGGCUGGGUGCCUAGGACUGCCUCCUUCCUGCACUGGUUCUCCAGCCUGGGCCCAUGGCCAAGAGCACUGGAGUUCACCAGAAAGACAAACACUGAGACGCUCCCCAAACACUUGGACUUUAAUUUGCUUCAUGAAAUGCCAGGUUAUUUUCUUUUUCUGGCAGAAUUGGUUGCGCCUCCUCCAACCUCACAGUCCUGCUCCUGGUAGCAGUUUUCUCGGAAUCUCACCAGUUCAAUUUCAUAUAUAUAUAUGC